rnacentral:rRNA from 1 species
AACGCGAAGAACCUUACCAAGGCUUAAAUGGGAAAUGACAGGUUUAGAAAUAGACUUUCUUCGGACAUUUUUCAAGGUGCUGCAUGGUUGUCGUCAGCUCGUGCCGUGAGGUGUUAGGUUAAGUCCUGCAACGAGCGCAACCCCUGUCACUAGUUGCCAUCAUUAAGUUGGGGACUCUAGUGAGACUGCCUACGCAAGUAGAGAGGAAGGUGGGGAUGACGUCAAAUCAUCACGGCCCUUACGCCUUGGGCCACACACGUAAUACAAUGGCCGGUACAGAGGGCAGCUACACAGUGAUGUGAUGCAAAUCUCGAAAGCCGGUCUCAGUUCGGAUUGGAGUCUGCAACUCGACUCUAUGAAGCUGGAAUCGCUAGUAAUCGCGCAUCAGCCAUGGCGCGGUGAAUACGUUCCCGGGUCUUGUACACACCG